GUCUAUAGCCAUGCCAACCCGAACAAGCCCGAUCCCAUCUGAUCUCAGAAGCUAAGCAGGGUUGGGCCUGGUUAGUACUUGGAUGGGAGACCACCUAGGAAGACCAGGUGCUGUACGCG
rnacentral:rRNA from 1 species